UACGUAGGGGGCAAGCGUUGUCCGGAAUUAUUGGGCGUAAAGCGCGCGUAGGCGGCUACUUAAGUCGGAUGUGAAAGCCCCUGGCUCAACUGGGGAAGUGCACCCGAAACUGAGUGGCUUGAGUGCGAAAGAGGGUCGCGGAAUUCCCGGUGUAGAGGUGAAAUUCGUAGAUAUCGGGAGGAACACCGGUGGCGAAGGCGGCGACCUGGGUCGACACUGACGCUGAGGCGCGAAAGCGUGGUGAGCAAACAGG
rnacentral:rRNA from 1 species